UGGGCAUUUCUGGGGAGGAGUUCCAUGGCUUUCCACAGACUCUAACCACCCUGCAGCGAGCCGCAUGCUAUACGGGUUAAACUCGGGGCAUAUCGAACGAACAAUUCACUUCACGGAAGACUAGCAAUAACCAGGACACCUGCGCUAUUGAUCAGCUAUCUCAACACCAGAGAGACCCACCAGCACAAGGGGCAAGAAUUGGCCAGGAGGCGCGCGGCGCUGCGCCCUCACCGCGUCCAGACAGACCCUUGAACUUCACCGCCAAAAAACGCACCGCUCCGCAGACCCGACCCGGGAGAGGGGUUUAACUUCCCCUCACCUUUCCCAUCCCUCCUUCAUUUCCAAGGACAUACUCAAAGGAAACUGGCAACACUCGGUCUAGGGUUUCGCUCCUGCCCUCGGCGGACACCGAAACCACUUCUCCCAGGGAAGUUAAUUAAAGGAACCAUUAAUCCGCCCAAAAAUCCAAAACCUACCCCCAAAGCUCAAGAGCUCUGAAAAGAGAUCGAGGGCGCCUCUGCCGAUCUUGAACAUCUCUGCUCGUCGCUGGGGCUUAGAGGUGGGCAGGGGGUGCCAAAGGGGCGCAGGCAAGACCCGGCCAGAGGGUUAGACGCCGGCCCCCGUUCCGAGGCGGCCCAGUCUACACGCCAGCGACGCCGGCUGAGCCGGGCUUGGAGGCAGCCAGGACCGGCUCUUCAGGGAAGGACAUCCCCACAACCAGGACCCCUGGCAAAGAGGAAUUAAAGACCCAGUUGUGUUGUGAUGUUCAUUAUUCAGAUCUCGGAGCGCUCACGGAUCUCUUGGAUGUCCCCUGCCAGCUCAACUGAUGAGACUGCUACUUUAUGUACCACUGCUUGAAAAAGAAGGGAAUCUCCUAUUUCUCACACAGGAUAACAGUUGAGAGUCAUUGCCACAAUAAAACAGACAUGUUAGCGGUCAGGUUCAUAUAAGGACUAAGCGGCCCCAUGAAUCACAUAGGACUGGCUAAUCCUAGGACACUCCUCUCUGUGGUUUGCUAGGUAGCAGAGAGGGGAAGCUAAAUAGUAGUUUCUAAUAACAACUGGGAAGGCUUUUUCUUUUUAAAUAAAAAUGGAAUUGGCAUAAUUGGGAAUGAAGAUAAAGCUUGGAACCAAGUUAGAGAAGGCAAAGUGUACGUAGAAGAGCUGUUACAAAUAUAAAACUUGGCUGCGUUCUUUGUGAAGGCUCAAACUUGGGAAGGUUAAAUACCAUAAAUUUUUUCAUUUGUUCUGUAUUUUGAUCCUGAAAAGAAAGCUGGCUUUGCCCAUGUAUUACUUUAAAAACUUGGGGGAAAGGAGAAGAAAGGGACAAGUUUUUAAAAACUGUUUGAAAACAUUACAGCUGAAAGAAGCUACAUAGGAGCUGGGUAGAGAACCUAGUGACUAAGAGAAUGAGGAAUGCCGAGUACGCAUCCUGUGGGCGGGGCUCUACCCUUGCCGCUUUCAGGUACGGGAAUCUUGACACCAAACAUGUUCUCACAUGCAUGGUGGUGUGAAUGAUUUGAAGGAAUUUGUAGUUAGUAUAAGGAAGAACCUGGAACAUGUUUAAUGAUUUACCCCAGGAGAUCAUAAUAAACAAUGUAAAAUUUGGGAGA